rnacentral:sRNA from 1 species
GGGUUGUUCUUAAUCAGUACAAUAUAUGUAAAAUGUUGAUUCAUUGAAAUUAGUUCUAUUAAUUUGGAAAGCAAUGAAUGGUUUAAAAAUAAUUAGAAGGGAAUCUAAGAUACAGCUAGUGUAUUUAAAUUUUACCUUCCAAUUACCUGGUCAGGUACAGCUGUUAAUUAAUGUACCUGUGUAUUUGACCUUCACUAAUGUAUUCAUACCCUCACACCAGACCCGUAAUUAUAACCUCAAAUGUUUCUGUCUGCAUCUUUAAACUGGCUAGGGUGUGGCCUCUUUUGAUGGCUAUUCUGUGAGGAAAUGAUCAAGCCACCAUAAUGUGUACACUUUUGUUCCUUUAUUGUGGUCAGUGGAUCAGGCAUCCAAAAGCCUGGAUAGUAUAACUACUGCUGAACAGAAUUCUAUCAAGAUCAAACUACUUUAGUGUAUAUGUGCAUGUUUUGAAUAAUAUGAAAUGGCCAAAGAGUUUAGAAUUGCCACCAACAAAUAAUUGUACUUUCAUGAAUAUGAUAAAAGUUCAAGCCAGGGCAGGAUGGAGUAAAUUUUGUUUAUUUGAAUGAAAUUUUGCUUUGAAAUGAAUUUUCUUCUUGAUAAAUUGAGAAAUUUUUAUAUAAGGUAUUAACUAUUUUAAAUUUAGUGAUACAGAUGAAUAUUCAGUGAAUUUACUCGAUAUUUUUUUAAAGUCCUUAAUAGGAAGCUAAACACAGUUUGAAUGGAAGCAGUAUAUGUAAUUUGAAGUGAGGCCCUUGUGUCGAUAUAGAGGUUAUGCAAUGAUAUUUCCUGUUUUCACUCGUUAUAAAGUAUUGAAAGACUCUCAAAGGUUUACCAGUACAUCUAAACAAGAUCAUAACUUGGGACAGCCAUAAUAGUUCCAAAAUCAGGAGUGUGGCAAAACUUAUAUAGCUUUUUAACUAGCCUUAUAAUACAUGAACUCUUAUGAGUCCAAAACAAAUCAACAUUCAGAAACCAUGUAAGUUUUGAAUUGAAAUGAAAUAAAAGAAUAUGUAAGUUCUAGAAUUGGAUGGAAUUUGAGAGAUAUUGCGUAAAAUAAAAAGUAAUAUCCACCAAGCUUUUGAGGCCUGACUGAUGUGUUGCUGGGAUGGUUAGGAUACAAGAUGGUGGCGAGGAGCCAAUGUUGGAAGCAUUCCUGUAGAAUGCCUCAUCUCGCUUUAUCUCGCUGUCUGAGACUGGAGCUGUAUACAUUGGUAUAUACAGCAGCAGCAGCUUAUCUCAGCUGCCAAACCAGAUAUAUAAAGCACUGCCGAGCUUUAUCAAUGUUUAUCAGGCUGGCUAGGAAGAUCUGAAAUCAUCUGAUUUACAAAUAUUAGCUCUUAAAUGUUUUCACCAAGUCUUUCACACUGUGAUUCACUUUAGUUUACUGUUUAUGGGUAAAGUUCAAGGUCAAACGCUAUCACAUCUGAAUGAAUUGGUCAAUUAUUGAAGUUUGGGUGUGUCUUUAGGUUCCAAGUAUCUAUUUUCAAGCAGACAUGCUCCA